UACAGAGGGGGCAAGCGUUGUUCGGAAUUACUGGGCGUAAAGGGCGCGUAGGCGGCCUGUUAAGUCGAACGUGAAAUCCCCGGGCUCAACCCGGGAACUGCGUCCGAUACUGGCAGGCUUGAAUCCGGGAGAGGGAUGCGGAAUUCCAGGUGUAGCGGUGAAAUGCGUAGAUAUCUGGAGGAACACCGGUGGCGAAGGCGGCGAUCCUGGACCGGC
rnacentral:rRNA from 1 species